UAUACGAAGCGUUCAGACAUUUGCAUUGUGUAGCCUACCCUCUAACCACAUUCUUACCACUUAUCUCAUGGACAUUAUUUGACAGUAGUCCAACCUAUACGAAAAUAACUGAAGUUAAAUUAUGGCGUGACUAAUUGAAAGUGCUCUGUGCUUUGUCUGUGAAGAUGUCUCGUUAGAAGACUGCUGUGAAAUAUGCUGUUGCGACUGCUCAAAGGAGAGGUCCGCCACCAGAGGCCAACAAUACAAGCCCCAAAGUGAAAAGGUUUGGACGGUCCAGAACAAUGAAACACCAACUGUUCAACAACCUCUUCCAAGGAGCCCUCCCUAACUCUGACCACCACACGUUCACUAGUGGUCUGCCGAAUGUUGUUCUGCUACUUCCUGCUGUUUUUUUGUACCUGUGAUAAUGAUGACCUGUCUGAAAAGCUUCCUUUGGGAGCGGGGAUAUUGUCUGAUGUCUUACAUGUAUAUAAAGGACCGCAGGAAAUACUGUUGAAUUACAUUACAAAUAAGAUAAAAUAGGAUAGUACUUUAAACCCAGAUGGAAAAUAAAUAAUGGGAUAGUAAUAUUGGUUUGAGGAUUAUAUGCAAUGAAGAAAUAUGUAAUUAUGAAAUAAAAUGAUUUGAUUAUCAAA